rnacentral:rRNA from 1 species
AACUUACUACCGAAGCUACGGCAUCAGUAAUGAUGGGUAGGGGAGCUUCCCAUACGGGUUGAAGCAUGACCGUAAGGACAUGUGGACAGUAUGGGAGUGAGAAUGUUGGCAUGAGUAGCGAGAUGUGGGUGAGAAUCCCACAGGCCGUAAACCCAAGGUUUCCAGGGGAAGGUUCGUCCGCCCUGGGUUAGUCGGGACCUAAGCUGAGGCCGAAAGGCGUAGGUGAUGGACAACAGGUUGAUAUUCCUGUACUACCGAUAACCGUUUGAGAGAAGGGAUGACACAGUAGGAUAAGCUAAGCACACUGUUGGUUAUGUGUGCCCAAGCAUUGAGGCAGUCAAAGUAGGCAAAUCCGCUUUGAUAAUGCUGGGAUGUGAUGGGGAGCGAAAUUUAGUAGCGAAGUAGCUGAUUUCACACUGUCAAGAAAAGUCUCUAUCGAGGUUAAAGGUACCCGUACCGCAAACCGACACAGGUGGGUGAGGAGAGUAUCCUAGGGCCAGCGAGAGAACUGUUGUUAAGGAACUCGGCAAAAUGACCCCGUAACUUAGGGAUAAGGGGUGCCACCAUCAGGUGGCCGCAGAGAAUAGGCCCAAGCGACUGUUUACCAAAAACAUAGGUUUCUGCUAAGUCGCAAGACGAUGUAUAGGAGCUGACGCCUGCCCGGUGCUGGAAGGUUAAGGGGAUCUGUUAGAGCAAUCGAAGCAGUGAACUUAAGCCCCAGUAAACGGCGGCCGUAACUAUAACGGUCCUAAGGUAGCGAAAUUCCUUGUCGGGUAAGUUCCGACCCGCACGAAAGGCGUAACGAUUUGGGCACUGUCUCAACAACAGACUCGGUGAAAUUGUAAUUCCGGUGAAGAUGCCGGAUACCUGCGACAGGACGGAAAGACCCCAUGGAGCUUUACUGUAGCUUGACAUUGGGUCUUGGUACUACAUGUACAGGAUAGGUGGGAGGCUUUGAAACCAGGACGCCAGUUUUGGCGGAGCCAUCCUUGGGAUACCACCCUUGUAGUAC